AUUUCAUUCAUUAGGCGCGUUUCAUAGACAUUUAAAGUCACCUUACAACAAAAGAGUAGAAGAAAAAAAGUACCAGUAAUAAACAAUUAAAAAACAUUUUAAAAGACAAAGUGCAUGGAGCUUUUUUUGAUUCAACUAGUUAAGCACUAAUCUGAGAAAUGUGCAAAGUCCAUUAGAGCUCAUAUUAGGAGGCAACUUGAUGAAGAUCAACACAAAUGAGGUCAGUUCCAGCAUUGCAGAAUCACAAGUCUGCCAGUUUAACAGAGCAAAGAUUUGAACAAACACUCCUGUCUUCCCUCAUGCAAUGAAAAUCCUUAGAUUUACAACAGACGGGAAAAGUAAUUAUGUUCUAUAAACGCAGCUCCAGAGAAAAAAAGUGUCUACAGCUCAGGUCAGAGGACAUAGAGGAAGAUGGAGACCACAACCAGGAAGAAGCACAAGGCCACCACUGCUACGAUCACCCACGUCACGGUGGCGUCUGUGAAGAAACGACAUGGCAACAACUUCCUGUCUCCCUCCCACGUUCUGAGCGACACACUUUAUCUCCACAUGGUCAUCUUCUUCAGAUAUAUCCGCAAUAAUUAGCCUCAAUUCAAUCUGACACAUUGUGGACACCCUGGUUACCCUGGAGAGACGGAAACAGAAAAGAAAACGUAAAGAUUUUCAGCAAAAACACUAAAAAAGAGCUCUUCUGCUCAAAUAAGAGGACUCCACUGACUGCUCGUCUACCUGCCACAUGACCAAAGUUGAAUCUGCUGUUGGACACUCGGUGAGCACCUGACAGAACAUUUCCAGCCCCG